CGUGCUAUCAGUUGAGGGAAAUAGUCGGGCGUAUCAGAUUCCGGUAUGAUGUGGGUGGCCUCCUAGUACCCUUUGAAUAAGCCUACGCAGUGCGAAAACUCAGUUUCAUUCAACGUUUCGUCUCACACAUUUCAUGUAAAGUAAAAACAUCUGCAGAACACUGCUGGGUAUAUAGCUACACAUUUUUUAUCAGAUCUCUCCUGUGGGCAUCAGAGUCUGCAUAAGCAAUCGUUUACGGAAUGUUAUAAACAAACAGAUGCACGCAUACAUGUAAAAAACAAGAAUUCAUAAGGGCCUACAACUUGGAUAUGUUAUUAAUCUUUAAAAAACACAUCUGUUUGAAGGCCUAAAGAAUCUUCUUUUUCACACAUAUGAAGAAUGUUAAAAGAAAGUUAAAUGUUACAACAAUAGAAUUUCAAAUAAAAAUGAGAUAAACCUGUUAUUUGUUCAAUGAAUUGUGUGCAUUGAAAAGCAUGCUUCAGCAGCAUUCAAUACAUUUAUCUCCAAUUAAGUGAUGUUAUGACUUUUCAGGUUACUCGUCAGCCAAAAAAGCUUUCUUAUACUUUUUUGGUUCAUUUUCAUAAGCUUCAAAGCCAGAUUUCUUUUAGAUAGAGGAAACAC